CAUGCAAAAUUGUCGUAUUAAUCUGACUGUCGUAUUUUCCGGAUUUUUCGCAGUUUUCCGCAUCUCUCGCACGCCUCACAACGUAGACACGCGCGCGCUCCGUGCGCCCGAAUUCGGAAAAGCAAAGGAAAUAUCGUCGCAUCCGCAAUUUGCACGGGAAAAAAGCGAAAAAAAUUAAUGUGGUCCAUCGUCGUCGUCGUCGUCGUAUUCAUCGUUUUCGUCGCGAAUUGCUAGGAAAAAAGUGAAAAAGCUGCUCGCCAAGUGUUCGGUCCGAGUGUUUUUCUCAUCGUCGUCGCAGCAAAGGGCGCCCGCACAAGCUGCGAAACGCGUCUCCGAGUCGCGAGAGAAAAAAGGCAGCAGCGUACGUAAUGCACAGCAGCUACAGCAAAAGCAGCAACAACAGCGAAAGAGGUCUCUAAAAUUAAAACUUGUGUAGAAAAAAAAAAGAAGAAAAUACAAAUUAGCAGCGAAGAAAUGCAUCUAGUGUACACGAACAAGGAGAGCAAGUGCCGCUCUGUGUGUAAUUGAAAAAUACAAAAAAAAAAAAAAAAUUAAAGAGAAAUAAGAAAGGCAACCAAUUUGCAACCAAAAUAGAAAAUUGUGUGCGUAAAAAAUUCAAAUUGAAAGAAUCGCGCACACACACUCACACUCGCGCGAUAUUCUUCACAUAUGACACAACAGCAACAACCAUCAGCAGAAAUCAACGAAAGUCGACGUCGUCGUGUGCUGUGUUGUAAAUAUAUAAAGUAAAAAAAAUUAUUCUUGCUGCCUCCUCAGGUCAACUAACAAAUAACAAAAAAACGAGUAUUAUUACUAAUUAACGCGAAAAACAAAAAAAUUCGAGAGCGCAACAAAAAUCUGUGGAAAUGUCUCUCGAUUCCCGAAACAACUCGGCAUACUUGAAGCGGGCCGAGCAACUGAAACGAUGGGAAGAGUCAGACACGAAUCGCGAACCAACCACACCAAAAAACAAAAAUCCUAAAAUUAAGUUUUCAUCGGGAUGCAUCUUUCUGGCGGCCUGCGUGUCGGGCGACAAGGACGAAGUCAAGGCGUUGCUCGAGCAGGGCGCCGACAUCGACACAACAAACAUCGAUGGACUAACGGCGUUGCAUCAGGCAUGCAUCGAUGACAACUUGGACAUGGUCGAAUUCCUGAUAUCACAAGGCGCCGAUGUCAAUCGCAAAGACAACGAGGGAUGGACUCCGUUGCACGUCACGGCAUCCUGCGACUUGUUGAGCAUCGCGGGCUUCUUGAUCGAAAGCGGUGCAGACCUUUCGUCGAUUAACAGCGAUGGCGAUUUGCCAAUUGAUCUGGUGCAGUCUGACGAAAUGCGAAAUUUGAUACAAAAACAUGUGAAUGAACAAGGAAUUGACUGUGAUCAAGCGAAACAAAUCGAAGAAAAAUUAAUGUUAGAGGAUGCCAAACGGUGGUUACGCAGCGACGCGUCAGAAGCGGAUCGCCCGCAUCCGAAAACAGGCGCGACGGCAUUGCAUGUGGCUGCCGCGAAGGGAUAUACCAAAGUAUUAAGUUUGCUACUGGCGGGCAGAGCAGAUGUCGAUAAGCAGGACAACGAUGGAUGGACACCGUUGCAUGCCGCAAGUCAUUGGGGGCAGAAGGAAGCGGUGCAAAUGCUUGUCGCGUCGAUGGCUGACAUGGAUAUUCUCAAUUAUGCGGGUCAGUCAUGCAUCGACGUCGCCCAAGAUGACAUCGUAACGUUACUAGAAGAGCUCCGCAAGAACAACAAACGAACAAAACGAAGGCCCGCUAGUCAAAUUAGGAUAAGUAGCGAUGGUAACAACGUAGAUUCAAGCAAUGCCGAGACACCAUCUAAAGUAAUUCGUGUCGAAGUAAAGACUGACGACAAGAUAAUAAACAAGAAACAGCUCGGACACAUAUCAGAGUCUGAUAGUGAAAGUAGUAGUAGUGACAGUCUUGAAAGCUCCGAAUGUAGUGAGACGUCCCUCUCAGAUCGAGACACGAAUGAUGACAAUGUCACGCAAGGAUUUGUGUCGCUGAAGACAACGACGCCUGCCCCAGAACCAGUAAAACUCGAUAAACCGAUUAUUGCUAAGGAUAAGGACUUGAUACAGCAAGAAGAGGAAAAUACUUUCCGCAAACCAAAUUCCGUGCAUCAACGGGAAAGUCCAUAUUCGAACUCACAACUUGAUAAAUCACAAAAAGUUCCUGAUGAUAAAGAGAAUACGACACCGCAACAUAACUCACAAACGGAUUCGGAGGUUAUCUUACGAAGGACUCACAGUUUUGAAAGUGAUGAAGCUUUUUACACACGAUUACAAGAGCUUCGAGCACGGAUCAAAGCGAACUCAUGUUCAAACUUGCCGUUGCCUCAAAAGCAGGGCAGCAACGGCACAACUGGCAAUAACAAUAAUAAUAAUAACAAUAACAAUCAAACGAAUCAACUAAAUAACUUUAUCGUACAAAGAUCCGCAUCACUGAAAGAUCAUAAGCAAGUUCUUCUAAGAAAACCAACUGCAUCAUCACCGCCAUCUAGUCCCAUAUCCACUUCAGCAUCAGCGAGUGUUCGUAGUCCUCCAUUAACGGCAGCUGAACUGCUCGCUCGUCGCCUUAGUUCACCUGAAGUGUCUGGAGGUGCUUCUGCACAACAGCCACCUUGUCCGGUAUUCAUGCUUCCUGCCAAUCGGCAAACGACGAACGGCGAAAAUUCCGCCGAAAAUGGCAGCGGGAAUGAAAAAUCCGGACAAUCACCAUUCACAAAAUUUGUACAAGGAAAUAUUUUCAAAAAUUUCUUCAAGUCAUUUGUGCCUCCAACACGCGACGAAGAGAGUGAAACUCAGAGGAAAGCGCAUGCCAAGAGAGUUCGGGAGACGCGACGCUCCACGCAAGGCGUCACACUGGAAGAAAUCAAAAGUGCCGAGCAGCUCGUCAAGAAAAAGAACUCGACGAAUGCUGAGACGGAAGUAAGCAGCGUCGUUAGCACCUCAGCAACUGUCACAAUCCCAAGUACCUUACAGCAAAAUGAUCGUGUGCCUGCGGUGCCGAAUGUCGAGGAAUAUUUGAAGAAGGAAGACUCGCCCGUGUCUUCCGAGACGUCGUCCGCAUCGUCGUUACGUGGCUCGUCGCCGCCAACGAGCGAACAAGUCAGUGCCUCGUAUACUCUCAUCACGCCUUCGUUCCUGCGACAACGCGGUUCGAGCGUUGGCUCCGAUGACUCGGAAAAGGCGGGAAAAACCACAAGUGUGAGUUACACAAUUCCCGUUGCGGCGCCAAUUACGGAGAGCGUCGAGACCAAAACCACGGAUGAAGACUCGAAUUCGACGGUAACGGCGACCUUUAAAGUCCCGCUGCCGGUUUCAACGCGCAAAAUUAGCAGCGACUCGUCGACGGAAAUGGAGAAAUCGAAACCAUCGCCUACGAUGAAAAGUCGCUUCAAAUGGGAGUCCGAGGAAAAGUCGUCGGAAACGGAAAAACCUGUGCCUGCUGCGCGUUUUAAUACCACAACGUCAUCCGAUUAUGGGACACAUCGCUCGUAUGUGCGUGACAAGAGAUCCAUUUUCGACAUUGAUCACGCCCAAUUGACGCUUGCGGAGAAAUUGAGGAUCGAAGCGAGCAAAUACGCGGAUACAAGUCGUUCGAACACGGAUUUGCCCUACUCGAGGAGCGAUUCGGCCGAAAGCGAUACCGUACCCAAGAAAUACGAUUCAGUUCCUUCGUCGCCAGCACAUCAUACGACGACUGAAAGACGCCCGUCGUGGCGCCUUCGACUCGAUCCCAACAGCAAGUUCAAACUCGAAGAAUCUGCCCAAGGAAAUAACAAGUCAGUCAUUAGUCAAGCGGCGUUGCAGCCCAGCAGUAACAUUACAAUUGAUGCGAGCAAGAUGCCCGUUAUCCCGGUUGCAGCAACGAGACGUAUUAUGCCUGUCAAUAACACAGUUCCUAACGCGACAACUGUAUCUACGACAAUAAACUUAUCGAAUGCCCGUCCAAUCUCAUCCACCGCACAAGCAAACGACCAAAAAUCAGCGACUCCAACUGUCAAUAGCAACGCAACAGCGACAGAUGCGACACUGCCAAGCACGAGACAACGGUUAAAAGCACAGGAAGAGGUCAAGGAGAAUGCCAACAAGGGAUCAGAAAAUGAUAAGGAGAACGACAGCAGAAGUGCCCAAAACACUCAAGCACUCAUUCAACGUCGAAGACGCCCGAAACGUCGAUCGACGGGAGUCGUUCAUCUCGAUGGAGAGGAUCCCGAAAACGACAAGGAGUCUGGAGGCGAAUCUGGUCGCGUGGAAAAGGAUGACUCAUCAGAAAAUGGUGAAUUUAUCGACUACAAAGCUCUCUACGAGGCUGAAAAGGCAGAAAAUGACAAAAACAAAGAGGCCCUUCGCAAGAAAGACGAAGAACUGGCCACUCUAAAGUCGGCAUUGGAACGUUUUACGAACGCAACUACCAAAAAUACAUUGUCAGAAAUUGAGAAACGCGAACGUCGUGCGAUGGAACGCAAAAUUUCUGAAAUGGAAGAAGAACUUAAACAAUUACAAAAAUUCAAGAACGAAAAUGAGCGUUUGCGUGCCGAAAAUCGCGCACUUACGAGAGUCGUCUCGAAAUUAACGACGUCUGCUCAAAAUCAACUGCACAACAACCAACAAAAGCAACAGAAGUAGCUCAAAAAUAAUAAAUUUUCGUAAUUUUGUAGCCAAAUUUUUUCAAGAAUUUUAUAGAAAAACCCCUUUUUACAAUACAACUUAAUAAAUUAGCCAUUAAAAAACGUGAAAAAAAUCUUAAACGCAACAUUUUUCGAUAAUAUAUCGCCCCGUUUUGAUAUACUAUACGAGAAAAUUAUGUGGAAAAAUAUUAAAAAUAGUAGAAAUUUACACACAAAUACUCAGCUCUUGUCCUGUGAGAAAAAAAUAUGCUGCUAGCAGGCCAUGGUCCUUGUCAUGCAAAUGGAAACGCUAAAGGCAGAUAAUCAAAGAUUAAAGGACGAGAAUGGAGCAUUAAUUAGAGUCAUAAGUAAACUAAGUAAAUAGGAUUAUUUAUUUAUUACGUUUUUCUUUCGGUUUUAUUCUUUGGAGGUACAUGAAAAAGGCAAAACUUGCAAAAAAUUUUAAUGUUAUAACUAGUAUUUUGUUUUGAAUCCAAAAAAAAAAAAGAAAAAUUGCACUCUUUUACAUACAAUAUCAAACUAGAAGCAGCUAUUACAGUAAAUUUAAUAAACAAACAUAUAUUAUUAUUAUUACUAUAAGGCAUCUUCCUCAAACAAAAAGUUUUAAACAUUGCAAGCUAAUAAUCUGAUGAUAUUCCAUCCCAAUUAUUCUACGUAUUAUACAACAUAUAGAUUUAACAUAUAGAUUGUUCCUUCUUCUUCCUUCCUUCAUAUUAUAUAUCGAUGC